rnacentral:misc_RNA from 1 species
CGAGUUGUUGCUGGUCCUCGAAAGGGGAUACGUGCACGCUCUGUUUACACAUCCACUCACACCUGUGCACCCUUGUAGCUCUAUGGCCUGGGGACUCUGUCCUCUCGCUGUGGUCCUACGUCUUUACACACACACACCGUAACAAAGUAUCAUGGAAUGUACAUCGCGUUUAACGCAAUACAAUACAACUUUCAGCAACGGAUCUCUUGGCUCUCGCAUCGAUGAAGAACGCAGCGAAAUGCGAUAAGUAAUGUGAAUUGCAGAAUUCAGUGAAUCAUCGAAUCUUUGAACGCACCUUGCGCCCUUUGGCUAUUCCGAAGGGCAUGCCUGUUUGAGUAUCAUGAACACCUCAACUCUCAUGGUUUGCCGUGAUGAGCUUGGACUUUGGGGGUCUUGCCGGCAUGACCGUCGGCUCCUCUCAAAUGAAUCAGCUUGCCAGUGUUUGGUGGCGUCACGGGUGUGAUAACUAUCUACGCUUGUGGUCUUCCAUCAGGUUACCUUCAGCAAUGGAGGUUCACUGGAGCUUACAGACGUCUCUCCUCAGGGAGGACAGCUUUUUGAACGUUUGAUCUCAAAUCAGGUAGGACUACCCGCUGAACUUAAGCAUAUCAAUAAGCGGAGGAAAAGAAACUAACAAGGAUUCCCCUAGUAACUGCGAGUGAAGCGGGAAGAGCUCAAAUUUAAAAUCUGGCGUGCCUCUGCGCCCCCC